AUUGAACGCUGGCGGCAUGCUUUACACAUGCAAGUCGAACGGUAACAGGCCGCAAGGUGCUGACGAGUGGCGAACGGGUGAGUAAUGUAUCGGAACGUGCCCAGUCGUGGGGGAUAACGCAGCGAAAGCUGUGCUAAUACCGCAUACGAUCUGUGGAUGAAAGCGGGGGACCUGCGGGCCUCGCGCGAUUGGAGCGACCGAUGUCAGAUUAGGUAGUUGGUGGGGUAAAGGCUCACCAAGCCGACGAUCUGUAGCUGGUCUGAGAGGACGACCAGCCACACUGGGACUGAGACACGGCCCAGACUCCUACGGGAGGCAGCAGUGGGGAAUUUUGGACAAUGGGCGUAAGCCUGAUCCAGCAAUGCCGCGUGCAGGAAGAAGGCCUUCGGGUUGUAAACUGCUUUUGUACGGAGCGAAAAGGCUCCCUCUAAUACAGGGGGCUCAUGACGGUACCGUAAGAAUAAGCACCGGCUAACUACGUGCCAGCAGCCGCCGUAACAC
rnacentral:rRNA from 1 species